AGAGUUUGAUCCUGGCUCAGAAUGAACGCUGGCGGCGUGGUUAAGACAUGCAAGUCGAACGGUGUUUAGGUUGUAGCAAUACAAUUUGAACGCAGUGGCGAACGGGUGCGUAACACGUGAACAAUCUACCUCUUAGUGGGGAAUAGCUCGCCGAAAGGCGAAUUAAUACCGCAUACGAUUGAUGUCUGCAUGGAUGUCAUAUUAAAGUCGGGGACCGCAAGGCCCGACGCUGGGAGAGGAGUUCGCGGCCUAUCAGCUAGUUGGUGAGGUAACGGCCCACCAAGGCAAAGACGGGUAGCCGGUCUGAGAGGAUGAUCGGCCACACUGGAACUGAGACACGGUCCUGACACCUACGGGUGGCAGCAGUUUCGAAUCAUUCACAAUGGGCGAAAGCCUGAUGGUGCGACGCCGCGUGAGGGAUGAAGGUCUUCGGAUUGUAAACCUCUGUCACUGGGGGAGAACGCUAUGUCCUAAUACGACGUAGCCGACUUAACCCGGAGAGGAAGCAGUGGCUAACUCUGUGAGCAGCCGCGGUAAUAC
rnacentral:rRNA from 1 species